rnacentral:lncRNA from 1 species
AUCCAUUCCUGCAAGCCCAAACUGCAAGAAAAUAACAGCAAGGAAGGGCUUUGCCCUGAUAAACAGUUCACUUGUGGUCAUGCUUCGUGGUUCAACUUGCUGAGAACUUCAGGUAUGGCUCGUUAGACUUCUUAAAUGGUAGCUACAUCUAUAUAUAAUGGAUGGAACAUUAUUUUAAAUGCCUUUUAUUUUUUACCUUUCUCAGUCUGCCACGUAGGAAUGAAGGGUUCCGCUAAUAAUAUGCAUGGACAUACUAAUUACUGAAGAAUCUUGCACGGUGAACAACAUCCUGAUAACUUGGACUAUUGAUGACUCCACCUCAGACAACACUAAAAAAACAUUAGUAAUUUAUGCAGCCUGAUUGUUUGCUAAAGUGCAAGGAUCACUGUUGUGAUGGAGUUGUUUUUGCAAUGAUCUACAAAAAUUCCUUCAGCAACAUGUCUUGUUGGUUUACCAUGUCUAGUUUUAACUUAUCAAUGGUAUUGGAUGUGGCAUAAUGAUGUUUUUAUAUUUAGCUUUACCUUUAAAUUGGAACUCCUCGUAAGGAUUGAAGUCCACAAUAAAUUGCAUGAAUACAUUUCUUCUAUAGUACCUAACUUAGUCAUGUUUUGCAGGGUGGAUUAUUAUGGUGUAUCGAUUAGCUUACAUCAGAAACUGCUGCCUUUUCUGUUGCAGACAUGAAGAAUGGUCUACAAUUGUGACGUACCAAUAAUCGUAGUAAGUUUUUGGUAAUGAGUUGGUGUAAAUUAAAGACAACGAUGAAAAGGUUUUGUGUAGUGCGAUAAUUAAAUAGUAACAACACUGCUAAGCAGAAAAAUGGGCUCACCCCUGCUUUGGAUUUGUUACUUGAUUCCUACAUAGUAGUCAAGGCACUUAAUCCCACUACUUAGUACUUUGUUAUCUUGUGCUUUAUGCAUUGGCAAUGCACCAAACACUCCCAUCUCCAAAUUGAGAACACUUUUUUUUAGUCAUUUGGAGUCCGACUAUCUGGCUUCUUGUGUGCAUCUGUUAUACAUAAGUUUAUGUGCAUCUAUUAUGCAUGUUUUGUGUGCAUCUGUUAUACACAAGUGUUGUGUGCAUUGUAGUAGGCAAACAUUUGUAAAAUUAAUGCGUAGAGUAGUACUCCCUCCGUUUUAAAAUAUAAGAUCAUUAUUGACUUUUGAAAGUCAACUUAUGACAUUUUCAAACUCAAAAUUGAGAUGAUUCAUUAAAAAUUAAGGGACAAUAUAUCUUAAAAUGAGGAUUAUUUUUUUAGAUAAUUUACAAAUUUUAUCAUUCUACUGAUU